GAUGAACGCUGGCGGCGUGCCUAAUACAUGCAAGUCGAGCGAACAGACGAGGAGCUUGCUCCUCUGACGUUAGCGGCGGACGGGUGAGUAACACGUGGAUAACCUACCUAUAAGACUGGGAUAACUUCGGGAAACCGGAGCUAAUACCGGAUAACAUGUUGAACCGCAUGGUUUAACAGUGAAAGACGGUCUUGCUGUCACUUAUAGAUGGAUCCGCGCCGCAUUAGCUAGUUGGUAAGGUAACGGCUUACCAAGGCAACGAUGCGUAGCCGACCUGAGAGGGUGAUCGGCCACACUGGAACUGAGACACGGUCCAGACUCCUACGGGAGGCAGCAGUAGGGAAUCUUACGCAAUGGGCGAAAGCCUGACGGAGCAACGCCGCGUGAGUGAAGAAGGUCUUCGGAUCGUAAAACUCUGUUAUUAGGGAAGAACAAAUGUGUAAGUAACUAUGCACGUCUUGACGGUACCUAAUCAGAAAGCCACGGCUAACUACGUG
rnacentral:rRNA from 1 species